rnacentral:tRNA from 1 species
GCGGAUGUAGCGCAGUUGGUAGCGCAUCACCUUGCCAAGGUGAGGGUCGCGAGUUC